GAUGAAGAACGCAGCGAAAUGCGAUAGGUAAUGUGAAUUGCAGAAUUCAGUGAAUCAUCGAAUCUUUGAACGCACAUUGCGCCCCCUGGUAUUCCGGGGGGCAUGCCUGUCCGAGCGUCAUUACAACCCUCAAGCUCAGCUUGGUGUUGGGCCCCGCCGCCCCGGCGGGCCCUAAAGUCAGUGGCGGUGCCGUCCGGCUCCGAGCGUAGUAAUUCUUCUCGCUCUGGAGGUCCGGUCGUGUGCUCGCCAGCAACCCCCAAUUUUUUUCAGGUUGACCUCGGAUCAGGUAGGGAUACCCGCUGAACUUAAGCAUAUCAAUAAGCGGAGGA
rnacentral:misc_RNA from 1 species